rnacentral:lncRNA from 13 species
UAAGGUCCCCACUCCGUGCGUCAUUCGACCAUUCCGUGAUUCCUCUCUGAACGGCGUGAUCGAAUCUUACUCGCUUGUACGCGCUCCAGGCCAACGGUUGCUGACGAGCGAUCGACUAGACGCGAGUUGGAUACAGUCUCACCGUUUGAGAUGGCACGGAUGCGGGUGGAAAGAAAGGGAUAGAAAGAGAAAAAGAGAAAGUUGCUGUAAUGCAGGUGCAAGUGAUCCUUGGAAUUUCAUACAUGCGCACGCACACACGCACAUCGGCGCUCCUACCUAUCGUCGAGUUGGUUUGUAAACUGUAUCGAAACCAAAGUACUUUCAUUAUUUAGUUAACUUGUCAAUGUAAUAUAUCUAACAUUAUGUAUACUUAAAGCAAAAUAUUCACAGAAAACAGAAAGAAGGACAGGUUUUUAUAUUGUUUAAAGAAAUAUUUUCAAGUUCCUUAAGUUUGUAAAAUCAUAGAUAUAUUUUAAUACUGCCUUGCAUUGUGAUAAUAGUUCUAUUAGUGUAUAGCAUUUAACUUUCCUUGAUCUUUAACAGUAUAACAAAUAAUUUGAAAAAUAAUAAAAUUCAUUUUCAGAAAGAUAAGACUUAUUUAUCAAAUUAUGAAUUGAUUCCAAAAUUUUAUGUAUCAAGUUUAACCCAUCAAGGCUUUAACAUAGAUGGAUUUCUCUGUUGUUUAUUUCCAAGAUUUUUUUUUAUGCUGUUUAGGAUCAAGAUAACAAAGAUAAAAGAUCUCCAUUAUUGUACAGCCGAAAGAUAUUUGUGAUACUUUUAAUUUAUAUUUAACAUUUGUAACAAAACUGUGAUACAGAUUAGAUGAAGCAGAUGAAGGAGAAAGUAUGAGAUUAUGUAAGAUGAAUAAAUGCAUUUUGCAAAUAAUGUAAAACAAUUCCUUUUCUUAAUUUCUCUAUUCACCAACUUAUUAAUGUGUCAAUCCUUUUCAGUCUGGCACAUAGACAUCCAUAGAAAAUUCACCUUAUCGCGAACAAAGGGUCUACCAGCAUGGACGACGUCGUCGUCGUCGUCACCGGCUUAGAAAACUGUACCUAUAAGAUUGCAGUGAGCGAAAGAGAGAGAAAGAAACCAUAGGGGAGUAUAUCUGCGUUUUUGAGAGGGAGGGAGAAAAGUCUGUGUUUCUAGAGACUGGUUGAAUCGGCGCACAAGCAAAAUUGUCUUCUGCACGAUACCGAGCUCAUCUGCGUGGUAGUCUGCAAUGAGAAAUUUCAUGCGGUGAGGCCUCUAUUUUCCCCCGAAUCGGUCGUUUUCCCGGACAAGGUCCAGAACAAGUCGAUUCUCGUUGAAUAACAUAGGAUAAAUAUCUUUGGAUGCGAGAAGCCGUUACUCGACAGGCUGGUAUACUUCAAAUAAGGUAACUCAUCAUGCGAGCAUGUGGAUAACCAAUUUGAGUUACCGAAAGAUUUUCCUGUGUGAUAUAAAGAUAAGCCACAUAUAUAUGCUUGUCUGGUGUUGCCGUAAUAAUAUGUUCAUACAUCUGGGCAAUUUUCGGCCACGCCGAGACUAUGAUUAGGAUAGGAUGUUAACGCGUAUGUUUUAGAUAUUUGAAGAGUAAGAAGCUUUCAGGAGAUACCAGAGAUUUAGCAGGAUGUAAAAGAUGUCGAUAAAAAAGGGUGUUUAUGUAAGAAUGUAUUGAAUAUAAAGAAAAAUGGAAGUGUUAGAUUUUUUCGAUUUGGUAAUAUUGAUUUCAACCCAAGCAGGAAUUAAAUUUUAUUCAAUUUUUAAUAAUGAUAUGCAUCUUGAUAUUAUUUUACAUAAGCAAUCUUGAAUUAAUGUCAGUUAUGAAAAAUCUCAAAAUUCAAAGAUUCGAGAGCUUGGAGAUUGAGUAUCCUGAAACUCAGAGAUCUCUGGCAUGUCCAGCAACUUUGAUUAUCCAGAACUUUCGGAGUCGAAGUCUAUGGAAUUGAAAAAGAAUCUUGGCUUUUUCACGGAUCUCCCAAACUUCCAAUUUUAAACUGCCAUACUAAGGAUUUAAGUACCAGAGAAAUGAGAGGGAAUCGAGGCACGAGGAGCAAAAUAGUGUAAUAUAUAAAAUAUAAAAGCCCAAAGAAGAGUGUGUAUGAGUAGCAAGUAUGAAUAGCAGUACUAAAUUAAUACCAAUUGAGCGAUACUGUUUAUUAUGACUUGGUAAAACCUAGAUAAGUGAAAUUUUUAUAUGUAUAUAUUUGGAUUUUUUAACAAAUCAUUUAUCCGGUAAUUAUAGGUAUACUAAAUUAGACAAUAUUUCAAUGCGAUAAUUCAAUACGAGACAUUUUUUAGUAACAAAAUAUUGAAUACUAUUUUGAUAGUAUUUUAUAUUGAAAUUUUCUUUAUAAAGAUGAGUUGUAAAAGGAUAGAAGGGUUGGAGGGGGGGGGGGGUGUGCAAAUGAAACAAACCUUUUUGAUUGACAGAGUUACGUGUAUUUGGAAGAUCUCGUCCCAUUCGACCAGUGGACCGUGAAGAGUAUGGUUUGAGUUGCUCGAGAAUGUGCGUGGUAUACCUAUAUAGAUUGCAGUCUAUUGAAAAUGAUCAUCGUGGAGGUUUGAAAGAACCUGGACGGCUUGAAAGAAAGAAUGCGAGUCAGAGUGAAUUUGCUAGCGUAACUAGCUAUCGUUCCUUAUAUCAAUUAUAAUACAUCUAUAUGUUAUAUUUUGUUUUGCUCGGUUCUCUUUGUGUUUCACACAGCAGGCGGCAGAAUGACAAAGCUAGCUCUAAAUCUUUCAUAGAUUAGAGAAGUGGCCCUUCCGACAUAUCACUGUCUGCACACUCGACAAUCUAUAGGACUACGCGUUGCUUCGUGAUCAACGGGAGAUCUAGCUGGAUUUGCGUAUUGCGUGAGAACGAUGAAGGUAACGAGAGACGAUGGAUUAUUGCUGAUCCUUGUACCUUGUACCUUGCGAUAUAUGUUAGACGGGACGGGGAAGGGGGGGACAAGACAACAAUGUUUUUAUGAGUCAUAGGAGGAAGAUGCUGUUUUGCACAAUGGCGACGAAGAAACUUGGAGAGAGCACAAGAUACAAUCGCUGAUGUAUCGAUGUGAUGAUAUGCUGAUGUCCCAUACUUCGAUUAGUUUACAAAGAUACAAUGUCAUCCGAAUCCACACGAAAUUAAAGUUUGCACGAAACAUUUCUACAAGGAUACUUCGAACUCACGGAUCUGCAAAGUUGAAAAUCUCGGAAUGAAUUAAGUUCAAGGAUAUAAAAUUUAAGCAAUAAUCGCAAAAAGGGAUAUAAAGCUUCAAUAAUUUAAGAAUUUGAGACACACUUGGAAUCUGUAGACAUCUAAAAAUCGAAGGACAAUUUUGGAUAAUAUCCAAUCACUUUUCAUCAUUAAUUUAUUUAAAAUUAAAUUAUCUUAUCGUAAUUUUUUUUUUUUUUUUAGAAAAAAUUGCGACAAUAUAUUUGUCAAAUAUGAAGCAAUCUCGUAUCAAAAGAAUUGAAAGUAUUUUACAAUAUAACUGAAUAAAAAUGAAUCGGAAAUUUUCUAACUAGAAAUAAGAAAAAAAACACAUUGUUUUUAGAAGGUAUCGAUUUUAAAAGUUUUUAUAAAAAGGUGUACAAUAUUUUAUUCAUGAUUGUCAAUAUAUAAAUGUCUACAUUGUUUUCAGAAUAUAGAAAGGUUACAUAUAGAGGGGUUAGCAAAAUGUCAUUAAGGGAGGGGUGGAAGGGUAUCAAAUAUCAUUUUGUUUUUUCACAGAAAGCAGUCAUUCGAACGUUCACUAUACCCAACAUGUGUUCUAUUCAUGGAAUAAGUAGGAUGAUUUGAUCAUAUACGACAAUGGUUCACGAGGUGAUGUUUGUUUUACGAUGCCACGUUUUUAAAGAAGCAAGGAGAGCAAAUGUAUGAAAAUUGAUAUACUAGUUUGAAAGAAGAAAUGAUGCGAAGCAAUUCAGUUCGAUGGGAAAUUUCUAGUAAGCUGUCUCCAAAAACGUCUCAUUGUAUUGGGUGAGUGCAAAAGUUCGUACCCGAUUUAUAAUUAAAACUGGAAUAGUAAUUUAGCAAGCAGGACCCAGACACGAACUUUUGCACUGAAUACUUUCAUCAAGAACUUUAUCUCUUCAAGAGAUAGCUAUAGGUUUUGCAACAAAAAGGUAUUGGAAAAUACAGUUUUUCUGAAGAGGAUGCAAAUUACAAAAUUUGACAUAGGUUGUGUGGACCGAAAGUGUGAACUUUAAUAGAGUUAAUUAGAAAGAAGAUAAUUUAUGGUAUAAUUAAGGAAGAUAAUAGCAUGUGACUCGAUGAGAUAAUAGCUUGUUAAGAAAAAUGUAUGGAGUAGAGCAGUGUAAUAGAGGUAAGCUGCAGAAUUUUAGUCAGGUAACGGUUUCAAAAAAAAAAAUAUUUUUUGUCAUUUCGCUUUUUUAAGUAUUUCAUUAUUAUUAAUUAUUUUGAAAAGUUAGCGUUGGUUUUUUUAAACAAAUAGUUAUUGAGCAUUAAAAAAUUAGCACUACUUGUUGACUUCCUUAAAGAUUACUAAAUUUUAUUGUGUGAAAUAUUUGAUUUGAAUAAUUUACCAAGGUUAUUGAAAACUAACUUGAGAAUUAAUUUUAUGUUGAUUUUUUUUUUAAUAUGAGUUUCUAGAUUUAAUUUAUUGAAUUUAUAUAAAAACAUCAUAUUGAUUCCAAUUUCUAUUAAUAUAUUCAUUAUAUUUGCAUUCAUAUCUAGAUUUGAACGGACUCAUGUCUUAACAUAAUUUUAAUUAGAUAAUUCAUGUUUUUUUCCUAUAUAAGUAUAUAUUUAAGAAUAUUAGAAGAGUGAUGUUUGUAUGCAAAGUAGUUGCAUUUUAAAAAUGAAGCUGAAGAAGAACAUUUGAAUCGCACUUGAAUGAAAUGACUUGCACUGCCGUUCCUUAGUGUCAUUAUAAACAGCCUUAUAUUUCUUUUGGUAUCUUGAAGAGGCUUGAUUCCAUUUUCUUUCUCGCUGUGAGAUUCUGUUGCAGUCGUCAACCAAAAGGGCAUCUCGGACGUGAGUUAUUUGUUUUUCUACAAUUUUGCGUACUAAUAGAGUGUUUUAGAGAGGCACAAAAGUGAUCAACCAUGUCGUGAUCUAUCGUCAGCCUUCAAAUUCGACGCUGGUCUUCAAACAUUUGCUUAGCUGAGUGUACAAAUUUGGUUCUCGAUUUCUUUCAUCGUUGGCUACUGUUGAGAUUCUUUUCUGAUACAAAACUUCACACGAGAUUCACUUGCGUUACGUAAUUCACCACCUGCUAGAUCAUCGAGAUUCUUCGUAACUAGGAUUUUAUCGUAAAAGAAGACCAUGGAUUAUCGUUGCAGAAUAAUAUUGUCAUAGGACCAGAAAUUGGUUUUUUAACAGCACUGGUACGAGAUAUGCAGAGUUCCAGAAAAAUGGCAUAUUAUCUUUUCUAAAAAAAAAUUUCUCCGAAAAUUGUAUAUUUGUGAAAAAUCGCUACAUAAAAAAAAUAUCAAACAUUAAGGAAAUAUCCUAUCUUAAUGGAAAUUGAGCAUCAUAAUAUCAUUAGCUUAGGACUUUAUUGUAAAAUAUAAUAGACUUUUUGUCACAAAAAAAUCAUAUCUGUAAGAAAUUUAUCACUUAUCACACAAGAGCAUCAUACAAUUCAUCAUAAAAAAAUCCUUGACCUUCAUUGAAAAUAGAAAUCACUAUGAGAUUGCAUCACAAAACAAAAUGGUCGUGGAAUUAUAUGCUCAAAAAUAUCGAGAAAUUUUGUUGAAAAAAAAGGAUCAUCGCAGAUUGUCACGGGACUCCAUUGUAGAGGAAGAUCGUCGUGAGACUGUUACAGAAAAGAUCAUCACAGAAUUUCGUUGCAAAAGAGGAUCAUCGUAGAACUUUGUAAUAGAGGAUCAUUGCAGAAGAUCAUCACAGGACUCAAUCGCAGAAGAGGAUCAUCACAGAACUCAAUCGCAGAAGAGGAUCAUCACAGGAUUCCAUCGCAGAAGAGGAUCAUCACAGGACUCCAUCGCAGAAGAGGAUCAUCACAGGACUCCAUCGCAGAAGAGAAUCAUCACAGGACUCCAUCGCAGAAGAGGAUCAUCACAGGAUUCCAUCGCAGAAAAGGAUCAUCACAGGACUUCAUCGCAGAAGAGGAUCAUUACAGAAUUUCAUCGCAGAAGAGGAUUAUCGUGGAAGAGGAUCGCGUGUCUUGGGACUUGGUUGCAUAAGGAUUAUUAUGGGAUUUUAUUAUAGAAGAGGAUCACGGGGACUCAAGAGGAUUAUCGUAGAAGAGGAUCAUCGUAGAAUUUUGUUG